AAUACCCUUCAGGACCAAGCACUGGUCAGGGCUGUUGGCCGUAAAGGAUCUGAUUAUAGCGUGGAGCAGCAAGAAUUCUGCUCGCCAUGCAAAACGGCCUUCGAACUCGACCAAAGGAGCUAAAAUGUUACUCAGGCCUGCUUGCUGGCAGUGUGCUGAUUUUGGCCCAAAGCAGAAACUGUUCUGAACACUUGACAAAACGGCAUUCAGAGCCAACCACUACUCAGAUCUAUUGUCCGUGAAGAAGCUGAUUUCAGCCCACAGCAGGAAGCAUUCCGGUCACCAGGCAAGAUGGUGUUCAGACUCGACAACAGGAAGUAGAAUGCCUACUCAAAGCUGCUGGCUGGAGGGCGACUAUAUUGGUCCAGGGCAGCAGGUAUUCUGCUCGCUAACAAAACAGCCUUCACAGCCAAGUACU